AGUUACAUCCAUACCACCCUAAACAUGCCUGAUCUCAUCUGAUCUCGGAAGCUAAGCAGGGUUGGGCCUGGUUAGUAUUUGGACGGGAGCUGCUUUACUUGUAAUAG
rnacentral:rRNA from 1 species